rnacentral:rRNA from 1 species
UGUUAAUAAUUUAUAUAUAAUAUUUUAAUUAAUAUUUAUAUAAUAUUAACAUAAUUCAUAUUACUAUAUUWUUUUUAGUAUAUGAAAUUUUACUUUGAGAAAAUUAGAGUGCUUAAAGCAGGCAUAUGCCUUGAAUACUCCAGCAUGGAAUAAUAUUAAAGAUUUUUAUCUUUUUUAUUGGUUCUAAGAUAAGAAUAAUGAUUAAUAGGGACAGUUGGGGGCAUUUGUAUUUAACAGUCAGAGGUGAAAUUCUUAGAUUUGUUAAAGACAAACUAAUGCGAAAGCAUUUGCCAAGGAUGUUUUCAUUAAUCAAGAACGAAAGUUAGGGGAUCGAAGACGAUCAGAUACCGUCGUAGUCUUAACCAUAAACUAUGCCAACUAGAGAUUGGAGGUUGUU